UACGUAGGAGACGAGCGUUGUCCGGAGUUACUGGGCGUAAAGCGUGCGCAGGCGGCUUCUUAGGCAUGACGUGAAAGCCCCGGGCUCAACCCGGGAGGGUCGUCGUGAACCGGGGGGCUUGAGGCCGGUAGAGGUGGGGUGGAACUCCUGGUGGAGUGGUGAAAUGCGUAGAGAUCAGGAAGAACACCCGUGGCGAAGGCGGCCCACUGGGCCGGUACU
rnacentral:rRNA from 1 species